UUACGACUUUAAGUUAAGAACUUAGUUUACCUAAACAAAAAAAAAAAAAGACACCUGAUCCAACAGUUUGUCGAGGCUCCUCCCUGUUAAAAGAACAAGCUCCAAAAAUACACAAACACAAAAAGCUCUUCUGAACCCCUCUGACAUCUCAGCUACAAAACCUCCGAGUGAUACAGUGACACUGAGGAUGGAAACAAAAGUGUUCAUCUGUGCUCUGUGUGUCUGUUUGUUGACAAUUCUAGGGAACGAGACAUCAUCCAAAGACACACCCAGGAUAAACGCAUUCACAUUUCUGAAUUACAUACCCUUACAGGAAGGUCCUGUUAAUGGAAGUGAUUCCGAGCAGGUAAGUGCCAUUUUUGCUUCAAACAGAGUAAUAUUGGAACCACAAGUUAAAACUAUAUCAUGCUGUCAGUUAUGUAUAUAUAUGUCCUGAUUCUUUUUCACCACAGAUGACAACAUACAUUAAAUGCAAAUACAACACAAGAAAGUAUUUUGGAAACAACCGUUGCACUGAACCUUGUAGAGGUACCCUUCAGUUCCUUCAUUUCUCAUGAAAAAUUUAAAUUAACUACUCAUAAAUCUAUACAGAAUAGAGUUUUAUUUAGGGUUUGUAGGGUUCUUAGGAAAAGUGGUAUAUGAAGUUUUUGAUUUAUUCACACUCCUGUUGUUCCCAAUCAUAUACUUUUAUUUUUUGCAUGGAACACAAAAGAAGGUAGCUUGAUGUCUAUAUUCACACAACCACAUACCUCUUCUGGAAAAACAUGAUGUGGGGGUAAAUAAAUGAUAACAAGGCUAACUAUUACUUUAGAUAUGACACGUGUGUUACAGCCAAAGCUGCUUGUGGUUUGUUGACUAACACACGAGGGCCCUCUUGUGUGCAGCUUUCAGUAAAAUAACAUGUAAACCAAUAACAUGCUCUCAGUCUGCUGUCUGUCACACAUUAGAUGGAGUUAUGAGGUCUUGAGUUUUUCUUCUCAGCUCAGUUAUUCUAACCUCAGUUAACCUAAGUGAGGUUUUAAGGCCAUUAUGUAUGUAUGUUUAUAUGUAUAAAUUUAACUUUCUUUUUUUCACCAGAAUGAUGGUAAACAAAAUGUCACAUAAGUCUCAGACACAACUCAAGGGUUACAAAACCCUGAAGACAAGGUAUGGUAAGUUUCAUGUGGUUUAAGUAAUAAAACAAACAAAACUGCAUUGUUUUUCUGAAUGUUAUUUGUGAUAAGUUGUUCAACCUUUUUUCUACUCAGAUUAAAGACAAAUAAAGACAAGAGAACUGGAAAACAGUCAACCCUGAUGAAAUGACAUGCUUUAAUAUCUGUUGAACAAAUUACCUUUGUAUUGUACAAUAUACAACGUCACAUGUAAAAGAUGUGCCUGAUUAAAUGUACAAAGAAAACUCAUGACCAUAAUGACUGUGCUAUGCUAGUCAGUGAAUGGUAAAACAUUGAGAGUAAGCUAUUAUUAUUAUAGUACAGUAUAUCAAAAGUAGAUAAUUGCAUUAGUAAAGUUAAAGGGUUAAAUAACAAUUUUAUUAGGCUAUGUAUGCUUAUCAAAAGUGUAAUUUUCAUUAUUUGAUGAUCAUGUCAAACUAAUUUAAUUAAACUAUUCACUGGGGAAGUUGUUCCUGGGUCACAAUUUAUAACUACUUUGAAAUCACAUCUCGAACUGUGAUAAUCCGCUGAUUAUAUGUUCUAAAUAACAUAAUAAAUAAUAAAAACAUGAAGUAGCCAACAAGCCUCCAAAACUACUAAUGUUAAAUGCCAAGAGAAUCUGAUUUAUAAUCUCUUGGGAAGAGGUUUAAACCCUAAGACUAGAUGUUGUGAAUGGACCAACCAAACCAAAAACCUAGUCUGUUGAUAAUUUAGGCCUAUUUCUUCUCAUGUUCAUGUGUUUGUAUUUCCUGUCAAAUUACUUCAUAUAUUGUCCAAAAGUAUAUUCCAUAUGUUAGUCAAAAAGGGAUUUGCACCUGUAUGGUCUGUAUGGUCGUGGUUAAGAUGGGAUAACCAGACCAAUCCAGCAGAUAUAUUUCAGGGAUUAUUUUAACAUGCCCCUAAUCUAAUUUGACCUGAGACAGAGGAGACUAACAGUUGCCUGACUAAUCCUUGUUUACAUUUUUAUAUAUUUAUUGUAUAUGUUU
rnacentral:lncRNA from 1 species